rnacentral:snRNA from 1 species
ACAAGUACCGCGAGGUAAA